AGGAGCAACAGCCCCAGUGGCGAGGCCAGCUCUGGAAACCUGGAUUCAGCUCAGGCAGGAACUCCAGAGCUCUCGGUCUGCAGGGCCUGGAGGCUCCGGGGCGGG
rnacentral:pre_miRNA from 1 species